rnacentral:rRNA from 1 species
AGCUUAGUGGCGAACGGGUGAGUAACGCGUGAGUAACCUGCCCUGGAGUGGGGGACAACAGUUGGAAACGACUGCUAAUACCGCAUAAGCCCACGGCCCGGCAUCGGGCUGAGGGAAAAGGAUUUAUUCGCUUCAGGAUGGACUCGCGUCCAAUUAGCUAGUUGGUGAGGUAACGGCCCACCAAGGCGACGAUUGGUAGCCGGACUGAGAGGUUGAACGGCCACAUUGGGACUGAGACACGGCCCAGACUCCUACGGGAGGCAGCAGUGGGGGAUAUUGCACAAUGGGGGAAACCCUGAUGCAGCGACGCCGCGUGGAGGAAGAAGGUUUUCGGAUUGUAAACUCCUGUCGUUAGGGACGAUAAUGACGGUACCUAACAAGAAAGCACCGGCUAACUACGUGCCAGCAGCCGCGGUAAAACGUAGGGUGCAAGCGUUGUCCGGAAUUACUGGGUGUAAAGGGAGCGCAGGCGGACCGGCAAGUUGGAAGUGAAAACUAUGGGCUCAACCCAUAAAUUGCUUUCAAAACUGCUGGCCUUGAGUAGUGCAGAGGUAGGUGGAAUUCCCGGUGUAGCGGUGGAAUGCGUAGAUAUCGGGAGGAACACCAGUGGCGAAGGCGACCUACUGGGCACCAACUGACGCUGAGGCUCGAAAGCAUGGGUAGCAAACAGGAUUAGAUACCCUGGUAGUCCAUGCCGUAAACGAUGAUUACUAGGUGUUGGAGGAUUGACCCCUUCAGUGCCGCAGUUAACACAAUAAGUAAUCCACCUGGGGAGUACGACCGCAAGGUUGAAACUCAAAG